rnacentral:rRNA from 1 species
GACGAACCGUGCGAACGUUGUUCGGAAUUACUGGGCGUAAAGGGCGCGUAGGCGGAUAGUUUAGUCAGAGGUGAAAGCCCAGGGCUCAACCUUGGAAUUGCCUUUGAUACUGGCUAUCUUGAGUUCGGGAGAGGUGAGUGGAAUGCCGAGUGUAGAGGUGAAAUUCGUAGAUAUUGGGAAGAACACCGGUGGCGAAGGCGGCCAACUGGACCACAACUGACGCUGAGGCGCGAAAGCGUGGGGAGCAAACAGG